GACGAACGCUGGCGGCGUGCUUAACACAUGCAAGUCACGGGGGCCCGCAAGGGCAACCGGCGAACGGGUGCGUAACACGUGAGCAACCUACCUCGAUGUGGGGGAUAGCCGGCCCAACGGCCGGGUAAUACCGCAUACGAUUCUUUGGGGGAGUCCCCAGGGAAGGAAACCUCCGGGGCAUUGAGAGGGGCUCGCGGCCUAUCAGCUAGUUGGCGAGGUAACGGCUCACCAAGGCGACGACGGGUAGCUGGUCUGAGAGGAUGGCCAGCC
rnacentral:rRNA from 1 species